rnacentral:rRNA from 1 species
UACGUAGGGUGCAAGCGUUUAAUCGGAAUUACUGGGCGUAAAGCGUGCGCAGGCGGUUAUGCAAGACAGAUGUGAAAUCCCCGGGCUUAACCUGGGAACUGCAUUUGUGACUGCAUAGCUGGAGUACGGUAGAGGGGGAUGGAAUUCCGCGUGUAGCAGUGAAAUGCGUAGAUAUGCGGAGGAACACCGAUGGCGAAGGCAGUCCCCUGGACCUGUACUGACGCUCUGC